CCCGCUGAACUUAAGCAUAUCAAUAAGCGGAGGAAAAGAAACUAACAAGGAUUCCCCUAGUAACUGCGAGUGAAGCGGGAAAAGCUCAAAUUUAAAAUCUGGUGGUCUUUGGCCAUCCGAGUUGUAAUUUAGAGAAGCGUCUUCCGCGCUGGACCGUGCACAAGUCUCCUGGAACGGAGCGUCGUAGAGGGUGAGAAUCCCGUCUUUGGCACGGACACACCAGGGCUUUUGCGAUGCGCUCUCGAAGAGUCGAGUUGUUUGGGAAUGCAGCUCAAAAUGGGUGGUGAACUCCAUCUAAAGCUAAAUAUUGGCGAGAGACCGAUAGCGAACAAGUACCGUGAGGGAAAGAUGAAAAGAACUUUGGAAAGAGAGUUAAACAGUACGUGAAAUUGCUGAAAGGGAAACGCUUGAAGUCAGUCGCGUCGCUCAGGACUCAGCCUUGCUUUUGCUUGGUGUACUUCCUGUUCGAUGGGUCAGCAUCAAUUUUGGUCGGUGGAUAAAGGCUCAGAGAAUGUGGCAUCUUCGGGUGUGUUAUAGCUCUGGGUUGUAUACAUCGGCUGGGAUUGAGGAACUCAGCACGCCGCAAGGCCGGGUACUUGUACCACGUACGUGCUUAGGAUGCUGGCAUAAUGGCUUUAAUCGACCCGUCUUGAAACACGG
rnacentral:rRNA from 1 species